rnacentral:rRNA from 1 species
UACGGGGGGGGCAAGCGUUGUUCGGAAUUACUGGGCGUAAAGGGCUCGUAGGUGGCCAACUAAGUCAGACGUGAAAUCCCCAGGCUCAACUUGGGAACUGCGUCUGAUACUGGAUGGCUUGAAUUCGGGAGAGGGAUGCAGAAUUCCAGGUGUAGCGGUGAAAUGCGUAGAUAUCUGGAGGAAUACCGGUGGCGAAGGCGGCAUCCUGGACCGAUAUUGACACUGAUGAGCGAAAGCCAGGGGAGCAAACGGG